GAUGAAGAACGCAGCGAAAUGCGAUAAGUAAUGUGAAUUGCAGAAUUCAGUGAAUCAUCGAAUCUUUGAACGCACCUUGCGCUCUUUGGUAUUCCGAAGAGCAUGCCUGUUUGAGUGUCAUUAAAUUCUCAACCUCACCAGUUUUCUGAGG
rnacentral:rRNA from 1 species